rnacentral:rRNA from 1 species
AUGAACGCUGGCGGCGUGCCUAAUACAUGCAAGUCGAGCGAACAGAUAAGGAGCUUGCUCCUUUGACGUUAGCGGCGGACGGGUGAGUAACACGUGGGUAACCUACCUAUAAGACUGGGAUAACUUCGGGAAACCGGAGCUAAUACCGGAUAACAUUUGGAACCGCAUGGUUCUAAAGUGAAAGAUGGUUUUGCUAUCACUUAUAGAUGGACCCGCGCCGUAUUAGCUAGUUGGUAAGGUAACGGCUUACCAAGGCGACGAUACGUAGCCGACCUGAGAGGGUGAUCGGCCACACUGGAACUGAGACACGGUCCAGACUCCUACGGGAGGCAGCAGUAGGGAAUCUUCCGCAAUGGGCGAAAGCCUGACGGAGCAACGCCGCGUGAGUGAUGAAGGGUUUCGGCUCGUAAAACUCUGUUAUUAGGGAAGAACAAACGUGUAAGUAACUGUGCACGUCUUGACGGUACCUAAGCAGAAAGCCACGGCUAACUACGU